ACUCAGACAUGGGCCGACCCACUUCCAAUGGGUCUUUUGAAGCGCCGCUAGUUUGGCCCUCCUCAGAACAGUUGGCCUCCUCUCCACAUCCAACUCCAUUACCCGGCCCAAAAAACUACUACCUUGGGCUAAAGGCCCUUCAACUGAGACCUCCUCCCAAUUAGAAGACACCCUUCCUUUAACCCUUUCGUCCUCUGCCCCUCUUGCCGACACAAAGUCAAAGGUAACAACCUCCCUGUCCUUUUUGCAACAAGCUUCUCCAACUUCGCACGUCACAACAACCUUUGCAGACUACCAUUGAGUUUGUACCUGCUCCACAUUACAAUCGGUGCAUGAGCCACCCCCUCCAUCAUCCCUAACCUUCUGCUCAUUUCCCAUCCCACUUUUGAACACCAGAGCAACUUUCGACACCCUUGGUUGCACCUCCCACCACAACUGAAUAGCAAAACAAGAAGAGCCAACUACCACUUGCAAAGAGAUUGGCCACUUCAAUCCCUCAGAUUUCACUAAUAUUCUAGCCCAUUGAAGCUCCUUAAAAGCAGCAGUGUCUUCAUCCACUGUAGCAAACCCCCCACAGCCUUCCCCAAUCUUUCUAAACACUUCUCGACUCCAAAAGUGCAGCGGUAAACCCACUACUCUCACCAAAAAAAAAAAAAAAACUCACUCACAAUUUUGAAAACACCCCACUUUUGGGUCCCACCUUUCCAAGUGCAGAAACGUUUCCUUAAAACAACGAAGCCCUUUUAAUAACUCUUUUUCUGACUCUGCUUUAUUCUCAAACUCGAUCAGUAUGAAAGAACCCCCCAGCCUCUCAAACAUCACCCCUUCUUUAAGGUUCCAGUGAAACCUUCCCCAACUGCCCAAAUCGGACAAGUCUGGAGCCGACAUGGGAGACUCUCCCCAUCUCCCAACUAGACACCGGUCCAACAACUCCCUUCUGCUUAGCACAUCUUUUUCCCCCAACUGUAGCUACAUUGCUUUCCCUAAUCUUCUUGCUCUUGAUUUCACUGCAUCAGCAUAGGAAUUUUUCGCCUUCCCCUUAGGAGCCCCAACUCUACUCUCUGUCCUAAAGAAAUCAAAGAUUCCUCUGGGCUCAUCACGUGUCAAUACUCCAAGAGAGCGGAGCUUUUCAGUCAACAAGGCCCAACCUCCCAGAAUGCCUUUCCCCUCAGGGAACACUAAACAAUACUUCUUUGCUUCUGAGUCAACCACAUAGCACAAUAAGAACCUGCCUUCCUCAUUN
rnacentral:lncRNA from 1 species